rnacentral:lncRNA from 1 species
GAAAAGAGAGAGAGAGAGAGAGAGAGAGAGAGAGAGAGAGAGAGAGAGAGAGAGAGAGAGAGAGAGAGAGAGAGAGAAAGAAAACCGGCUAAGUGGGGAGGGGGGAGAGGGAGGAAUUCCCAUCAGAAACAAGUGCAGGCUUUUACACUGCACGAAUACGGAUUUCUUGUCCCAAAAAAAGAACCCAUGCAGUGGUGCACGUUGCACAAGGAGAAAAUUCAAGUUUUUAAUUUGUAUAAGGUAUUUUUACACAAUUUCGAACAUAUUAUAACUCCAAAUUGAAUGCUGUUUGCGGCCACGUGUUCGUAAAAAUAAGUAUUGUUCAGAAUUAGUAAAAGAAGUGUGGGAAAGUGAAAGGAAAAUUGAGGUCCACGUGAAAAGCUUACGUGGCAUCUUAGUGACAUUUUAGAAUUUCAUUGCUACUAGAAAUAAAAUACAUUAAAUUUCAGGACGAAAUGUCAUAGGACAACCUAAAUAGAAGGUAGAGUUUAAGAGUUGAAUUGCUAAUUGAUUUGUUUAGAUAUAGUAUUUGGUAAUUCUAAAUAUGGUAAAAAUUUGAAGUAAUAAAAUUGUAAGCAUAUUGUACAUAAUUAAUGUUCAGGGGUUAGGAAUUUUAGUGACCAUAAUGGUCAAUUACAAGCACGUUGUACAUAAUAAGUUUUUACGAAAUAUUUAAACAUAACUUUAUGAAAAAAAAAUAUGAAGUCCACAAGGGUCAGUUGACCACUGUUAGCCUAUAUUGGAUCCGCCCGUAGGUUAAACCAUCUUCAACCCAAAAGUUUUGAACCCAAAUUUAUACUCCCUAAUACACCAGUUCAUCUAUACCCAAGUCAUACAAAAAAAAUUCAUCCAACCAUGCAAUCUCAAAAUUUAAUUCGACAGGCUUGUUCAUUGUUACAACUUGAGGUUAACUUCAUUUUUUUGUGUACUACUUGUUUUAUUUUUCAGAAAUUUUAACUUAAAAAGUUUAAAUUCGAAGAAAUUAUACGGACCAGAUAAAAAUUAUUUCAUUAAUGACAACUAUAAGUACAAGCAACUAUCUUGAAAAUAAAACGAGUACAAGGAAAACUUAAACUCAGUCAAAUUGGCUAAAGCAAUUUACUCAAACAAUUUCAUAUCCUGUUGGUAUAAGGAGGAUGUAUAGUUCAUACAAGAUCCAUGUGUUGAUGUGGGGCAUGAUCUAAUUAGGGGUGUUUCAAUCGUCAAGAUGAUUACGCAAUGAAGCUGACGACAUAUGGAAUAUGUAAGUUGGAGGCAAAGCUCAUUGGAAAGUAAGUUUAUGUAAUGACAUAGUCAAAGAGUUGUCCACCAAACUUCUACUCGUCACCAUCCUCAACAAACGCAGUCACAUCUGCCGGAGAAAUUUCAAAGUACCAUGUAAAUGUGCGUGUUCUGACAUGAUAUAUGAUUGUGCGAUACACCUAUACGUUAAAGGCACACCAUUUUCCUUAAAAUUUAAAACUCGGUCUUCGUCAACAAAACAAAGUAUUAUGGAGGCGCAUUGGACUAGGAUGGCCAAUACUGGUGAUAAGAAACUCUGUUUUAAAAAGUGGUAACCAUUUCUAAGACAUGACACAUGCCAUGAACCGUACAAGAAUAACAACUAACAUGAACAGAUUCAUCGUUGCGUAUGGUUUUGAUUUAAUAGCAUAUUAUUAUGUGUUGAGAAACUUACAUACAUAUUAUUGUUUUAAUGAAACUGACUGUCACAAUUACUGUAAAUUCGUUAUGUGUAAGUCAUACUCCUAAUGCAAAGAAAAUGAGUCACGAACAUUCAGUUUACAACUACAAGAGGUAAUUGAAUAAGCCAAUCGAGAUUUGGAAUUUUAUGAUGAAAAUGCUUUGGUUUGUACGUGAUUCUCUACUCGUCAUCUUAGCUUUAUGUUUGGGUUUCUAACAAACGUAAUUUUGAGAUUGGUCACUUGAUGAGUUUAUACUCAUAUUCAACGUCACGUCUUUUCUAAAAUUGAUGUCUUUUGCAAUUGUGAUUAAGCAUUAUCUUUUUGCGUGUUAAUAGAAUGUGAUAGGAUCAUGAUGUAAAGAUGGAGUAGCGUUAGAAGCGUGAACAAGAUGAUAAUUUUACUUUAACUGCUAGAUUAGAUUUGCCCAACAUUAUUUUACUCAUAGAAACUUCUAUCACAUCCCCCGCCAAUUUCCAUUCAAUGUUUACAUAAAGAAUAAGCAAUUUACUUUUCAAUUUAUAUAAUACUAUAGCCUCUUGUUUGUUUUAUUCUUUAUUUUUUGUUGAAUAUUUUAUUUUAUUUUGAAUAAUAAUCUACAAUUGAUUAUAAUUUAAAAUAAUUAAGAAAGUGACACCUUUGAGAUUAUGAAAGCUUCACCCAACAAAGCAAAAAGAGUUUGGAUUUUCUUAACAAAUCAUGAAGAUUCAAUUACAAGCAUGACUCAAAAUAACUCUCUACCCACGCAACAUGCCAUAAUUGGAUUUCCUCCACAAAAUGUUGCAAGUUUCCAACUCUUAUCACCGCGCAAUAAGUUAAGUUAGGAGAGGUGUGAACGUGCCUAUCAACGUAAAUGAAAAUAUUAUCGCUUAGUUUAUCCACCUGAGAACUAGUAAAUAAAGAAUGGGGCAUACAUGUACAGUGUGAGCAUGUUUAUAUGCAUCAACCGUGCUUAAGAAUUUCUCAAUGCUAUUUUCGAGAAAUAAAACAGAGAUACAUCCCUAUUUCCAAAAAAAAAUUAGCCCUACAAUAAGGGGAAAAUUUUCAUUGUGACUGGAAUACGAAUGGUACACCAUGUGUUUUUAUAUAAGUAAUGGAAAAUUUUAUUUGAUCACACUAAAAUCUCUCCGCAAUAAGUUGAAAGAA